rnacentral:rRNA from 1 species
UACGUAGGGGGCAAGCGUUGUCCGGAUUUAUUGGGCGUAAAGAGCGUGUAGGCGGUUCGGUAGGUCCGUUGUGAAAACUCGAGGCUCCAACCUCGAGACGCCGAUGGAAACCAUCGAACUAGAGUCCGGAAAGAGGAGAGUGGAAUUCCGUGGUGUAGGCGGUGAAAUUCGUAGAUAUUAGGAAAGAACACCAGUGGCGAAGGCGGCUCGACGUGGCC